rnacentral:sRNA from 1 species
GAUGUCAAAAGCUUGAAGCUUUAGAGCC